GGGUUGUGAGGUUAAGCGACUAAGCGUACACGGUGGAUGCCCUGGCAGUCAGAGGCGAUGAAGGACGUGCUAAUCUGCGAAAAGCGUCGGUAAGGUGAUAUGAACCGUUAUAACCGGCGAUGUCCGAAUGGGGAAACCCAGUGCAAUUCGUUGCACUAUCGUUAACUGAAUACAUAGGUUAACGAGGCGA
rnacentral:rRNA from 4 species